CAUUGAGAAGCUAUGCAACAGCACUAGCCUUUUAAGCUAGAGAGAGAGGACCCCCUUCCUCCUCAAUGA
rnacentral:tRNA from 1 species